rnacentral:lncRNA from 1 species
AAACCAUAUAAAACCAUUUUCACCCAAAACCCAAUUAUGAACACCAAGAACAAAACCAUGAACACUUUUUCAAGAUUUGUGUAUUCUUGGUGAUUUUUCAAACCCAAAAACAAAAGUGACAAGAACACUUCUUUUAAGCUUUAAUAGGAUGUGUGAGUGGUUUACAAUAAAACACAAACACAACCCAAAACCACCCCCAAAACCGUGCCUACCCUUUUGAACAAAACCCCAAAUUUUGUUCAUGACUUAUUCUUCAUUCAUGCAUACAAAACAACUUUUACAUGCAUAUCUUUUUCAACUCUUGAUUUACAUUUUUCAACCAUUGAAAAACAAAAGACAAACAUACUUUUAAAUGAAGAAAUAAUAUGUCAAACUAGUUCUUAAAACUCAUUUUUCAUUCAUGCAUACAAAACACUUUUGCAAACAUAUCUUUCUCAACUUUUGACUAACAUUUUUCAACUAUUGAAAAACAAAAGACAAACAUACUUUGAAUGAAACAAUAAAUAUGUCAUGCAUAACAUUAAUACCCAUAUGCAUAAAAUCCAAAAGGACACAUUAUACAUAAACCAUUGGCUCUGAUACCACUUGAAGGGAAAUUUAUGAGAUUUCUAGAAUGGGAUUUCAU